UACAGAGGUGGCAAGCGUUGUUCGGAAUUACUGGGCGUAAAGGGCGCGUAGGCGGUUCGUUAAGUCCUGUGUGAAAUCCCCCGGCUCAACUGGGGAACUGCACAGGAAACUAGCGGGCUUGAGUUCGGGAGAGGGAAGCGGAAUUCCGGGUGUAGCGGUGAAAUGCGUAGAUAUCCGGAGGAACACCGGUGGCGAAGGCGGCUUCCUGGACCGACACUGACGCUGAGGCGCGAAAGCUAUGGGAGCAAACGGG
rnacentral:rRNA from 1 species